rnacentral:rRNA from 1 species
CCUACGGGCGGCAGCAGUGAGGAAUAUUGGUCAAUGGGCGCGAGCCUGAACCAGCCAAGCCGCGUGCAGGAAGACGGCUCUAUGAGUUGUAAACUGCUUUUGUACGAGGGUAAACGCAGAUACGCGUAUCUGUCUGAAAGUAUCGUACGAAUAAGGAUCGGCUCACUCCGUGCCAGCAGCCGCGGUAAUACGGAGGAUUCAAGCGUUAACCGGAUUUAUUGGGUGUAAAGGGUGCGUAGGCGGUCGGAGAAGUUAGAGGUGAAAUCCCGAGGCUCAACUUCGGAAGUGCCUCGGAUACUGUUCGGCUAGAGAGUAGUAGCGGUAGGCGGAAUGCAUGGUGUAGCGGUGAAAUGCUUAGAGAUCAUACAGAACACCGAUGGCGAAGGCAGCUUACCAGGCUACUUCUGACGUUGAGGCACGAAAGCGUGGGGAGCAAACAGGAUUAGAUACCCUAGUAGUC